GACGAACGCUGGCGGCGUGCUUAACACAUGCAAGUCGAGCGGUAAGGCCCUUUCGGGGGUACACGAGCGGCGAACGGGUGAGUAACACGUGAGUAAUCUGCCCUUCACUUCGGGAUAACUACCGGAAACGGUGGCUAAUACCGGAUAUGACCACUUCACGCAUGUGAUGGUGGUGGAAAGUUCCGGCGGUGGAGGAUGAACUCGCGGCCUAUCAGCUUGUUGGUGAGGUAGUGGCUCACCAAGGCUUCGACGGGUAGCCGGCCUGAGAGGGUGACCGGCCACACUGGGACUGAGACACGGCCCAGACUCCUACGGGAGGCAGCAGUGGGGAAUAUUGGACAAUGGGCGAAAGCCUGAUCCAGCAACGCCGCGUGAGGGAUGACUGCCUUCGGGUUGUAAACCUCUUUCAGCGCUGACGAAGCGAAAGUGACGGUAGGCGCAGAAGAAGCACCGGCCAACUACGUGCCAGCAGCCGCGGUAAUACGUAGGGUGCGAGCGUUGUCCGGAAUUAUUGGGCGUAAAGGGCUCGUAGGCGGUUAGUCACGUCGGGAGUGAAAGCUCGGAGCUUAACUCCGAGCCUGCUUCCGAUACGGGCUGACUAGAGGUAUGCAGGGGAGAACGGAAUUCCUGGUGUAGCGGUGAAAUGCGCAGAUAUCAGGAGGAACACCGGUGGCGAA
rnacentral:rRNA from 1 species